rnacentral:tRNA from 1 species
ACGCCGGUGGUGUAAGGCGAACAUUGCUGCCCGGAAAGCAGAAGGUGCGAGUUUGAGUCCCGCCUGGCGCA